rnacentral:tRNA from 1 species
GGCGAGAUAGCUCAGUUGGCUAGAGCGUCUGGUUCAUACCCAGAAAGUCGGGGGUUCGAAUCCCUCUCUCGCUACCA